AAGUCAUUAUGGAACACUGGAAGUAGGAAUGCUGUUUGUUAAAAAGUAGCAUGCGCUGAUACAGAAAUGUUAAUUCAAUAUGCAAUGACAAUCAUUUAACAGUAGAUGGCGAUAGAACACUUUCAAAUAUUUGUCUCCCUUUAAACUUGUACACACGCACACACACACACACACACAUAUGGCUAUGUAGCUAGUAAAAUCAUCGUUUUCCUACGUUUCACACUGUCGCUUGAUUUGAAGAAAAUGUCUGCUACCGUCGUCAGCACACAGAUUAACUGAGGUUGAUCCAGACAGACCAGCAACAUAUGUGACACAGUCCAGAACACCAGAAAUAUACAAAGCCUUCAUAACCCCCGAGAACCCGAUCAUUGCCCUGAAACCUCCUCCUGAACCCAGGACAGCGAUCACUGGAACCUACAAACGCAAGAAAACAGAAGCACAGUAGAAUGAUAGGAAAAUGAACUAUUAAUUAACAUUUUAAAACCCUUAUUGUCAACCAAAUAUUUGUACAUUUUUUUUAUGGCUGACCUUAGAGUCCCCCCUGCACCCCCAAAGAAAUGCAUGUCUAGUCUGAUUCUGUGCCUGUGUUCUUAGUAUAAUGUCCACACAUUAUUUUAAUCGUCUCUUCUUGUUUGGAACCUUAUUUUACUGCUUUUAUUAGUUGUAUUGGCCAUAAUGGACACUUUGUCAUAAUAGUAAUGUAAAUUCUGGAAAAUUGUUUUAACUUCCUUUACAUUGUGACUUGUAGGAACAAGGAAAGUAGGCCAGGUUUAAUAACACCGGCUUUGGUAACAGACACAUCAAAGAGAAAGAUGUCAAAUUUGCCAAUUGUUGAUGCCAAAAGGUUUUGACUAACAGUUAAAUAAGUGAAUCUAAAGCUUUCAAAAAUCAU
rnacentral:lncRNA from 1 species